GGGGUGACUGCGGCUUUUCAGACGGGACUUAAACUGAAUUCAGAGUGAAUAUACUAUUACGGUAAUGGAUAUACCGUUAUAUGUGUGACAGAUGCAAUACGUAGUCUGAAAGCACAUCGGAUGUGAAGUAUCUGCUACAGCUGGUCUUUGAGAACAGGCUCACCCCCCCCCCCAAGAGAGAAUGGACAUUAGGCAGACUGUCUGAGAGCCACCAGGUCAUGGGGAGCAGAGGCUCCAGAUUCAAAUUCAGAGAAUCAGGAGUUGCACAAAAGAUCAACAAAAUAUGUGCUUACAACACAAUCACUUUGGAAUCGCUAUUA